rnacentral:rRNA from 1 species
AACGAACGCUGGCGGCAGGCUUAACACAUGCAAGUCGAACGCCCCGCAAGGGGAGUGGCAGACGGGUGAGUAACGCGUGGGAAUCUACCGUACCCUACGGAACAACAGUUGGAAACGACUGCUAAUACCGUAUACGCCCUUAGGGGGAAAGAUUUAUCGGGGUAUGAUGAGCCCGCGUUGGAUUAGCUAGUUGGUGGGGUAAAGGCCUACCAAGGCGACGAUCCAUAGCUGGUCUGAGAGGAUGAUCAGCCACAUUGGGACUGAGACACGGCCCAAACUCCUACGGGAGGCAGCAGUGGGGAAUAUUGGACAAUGGGCGCAAGCCUGAUCCGGCCAUGCCGCGUGAGUGAUGAAGGUCUUAGGAUUGUAAAGCUCUUUCACCGAUGAAGAUAAUGACGGUAGUCGGAGAAGAAGCCCCGGCUAACUUCGUGCCAGCCGCCACGGUAA